AAUUUAUUAAAGUAUUCUUCUUCAGAAAUACCAUAUGAUGUGUUUGGAAUUAUGAAUUUGCCACCCAAUUUGUUAGUGGUUAACAUGGGAUAGUUUUAUUUAUUUAUCUAUUUUAGAAGGUUUUAAGUUCAAAACUUGUUGGACCAUAAGUUAUUAUCCAUCCCUUGAAUUAUUGCCAACCUAUCAUGUUUGUGAUGAUACCAACCCUUCUAAUUGGUUGGCUUCGCCAUGAGGAUACCCUUGUACAAGAAUCAGCCCCAACCUCUUAUUAGGUGGGCUAUACCAUUACAACAAUGUUUGACUAUUGAUGAAUAUCAAAGUAUAAUUAUUUAUUUCUUUUCAGGGAUAUAAGCUUCAAUAAUUUCAUUGGUUCGCUCCCACCUCAACUGGGGAAUUUAGAAAGUCUGCAACAACUGAAUAUAAGCUACAAUAACUUCAAUAAUUCACUCCCACUUGAACUGGGGAAGUUGGCGAGUCUGCGACUACUAAACUAGUGGAUGACAAAUUCACAGAAAGACAAAUAACAUCAGUAGCCACAGAUUGCAACCUGGAUUUAAACAAGGUUCAAGGUGCCGUCAACAAUACUAACAGAAUCCUCCAGGUCAGAUUGUUGAUUGGACCUGAUUUUAUUUAAAUGAUCUUGAUAAUCCAUUUUAUUUAAAUGAGCAGACUCGGAUGUGCGUCGGAGCUAUCCGGAUGUUGAGCGGGGUCCCUG